CCCCCAGAAUCUCCCUUCAGGGAAGAUUUUCUUGUUUUCUCGUCCCCUACACACAUCUCGAUAUCAUUCUUGUAAGUGGGAUAGGAGGACUUGCAAAUC